rnacentral:lncRNA from 1 species
UGCAUAGAGUUCAAUGACUGAAUUAUUUAUCUCUUAAUUUAGAUCUUGAGAGAGGAUUUUGCUGCUGUAGGAAAGAGGCUUAAAACUUCCAGGAGUAGCCCUUGUUUCCUGUGGUCAGCUUGCAGAAAUGAAUGAUUGCAGUAGAGAGUUGAGCUUGGCUAUGCCAAAGCAAUCCUUGGGACUCGGCUGCCCAUGCGUUCUUGAGUUGGUUGCAAGGCGAGGGCCAGCGGUUGACCAGAUUCUCCCCUCCCGUGCAAAUCCUGCUCUUCCAAAUGCUGGGAAAGCAGCUUUGCCCCAGCUACCUAGGGGAGGCUUUUGCCUUGGCCAGCAGCAGCACGCUGGGAAACGGCACUUGAGGAACGUGUUGGUACCUAGGUACAAAACCUUCCUUGCUCAACGUGAACACACUGCACUGCACUGCCUCCUAAAGAAGACCAAGCUACCCUUCCUAAAGCCUUUCCCAGGGCUUCUCUGCCCUGCAGGGGCCAGAGCACAGGAUGACUGUUGCCUUAACCAGAGGGAAAGAUGCACCUUUGUACACUUCUCCCGUCCCAUGCAACCUCUCACCAGGACAUCUCCCAGCAAGUUGAGACCGAACAGGAACAACCUCCCUGGAGGAGCAGUAGAGCAUAGGAACAGGCAGCCAGCAGCACUGAAGCAUCCUGCCAGUGCAAUGGCACAGAUCCUGCGAGUGCAUGGGGCUACUUGCCUGCCAGUGCCUGGAGGGGAUCUCCCUGUACUGCCGCAGAUCAGAAAAUCAAGGAAAGAGAUCCAUGUCUAUAUACCUAGUGGGGAAGACGGCAUGGAUUGCGAGUCACUAGAUGAAGGGUUUUUGGAAGAUGUGGACAAUAAGCUGAGUUCGUUGAGCCUGCAAGAUGAGAAGUAAAUUUGAUCCUGGAGAAAUUAUUAGUGUCUGGCCUUAAAUGGUGAUGCAGUUACCAUCUCAAAUGUCAUCUGCCACAUGACAGUGUGCCCUAGCAUUUAGCAAUAGAGCCUGUUCUGCAAGAAAUGUAAUGAUGGCAAAUCUAAGGAGGAAAACCCAUGUUUUGUCCAGAGUUUCCUUUGGUGGGAGGUGUCAUCUAGGGGGUGCAUCAUGAUUCAUGAGUUAUAUUUCUGGCCCCAUUCCCAUGUAUUUUCAGGUGAGUUGCUUAAUUUCUCAAUUGCUUUCUCCAUCUGUAAGAUGGGGUGAAGAACACUGGCUGACAGAUCUGAGUCCCUGGUAGCUGAGAAUGGAAGUUGACAGAGAAUCCUCUGGAGAGAAAAUCUCAAUAUUCUUCAGUAAGAGUACAAGGCUAUGUGGCAGUGUUACUCUAGCUUUGUGCAGUGAUGGGCAGGGUCCUGUCUACUGGAGCAUUGAAAGAUGUUGGGGAAUUGUCUGACUGCAUUACAUCUAAGUCUUAUGGUGCCCAGCUAUGUUAGAGGGGCUAGCAUGAGAUGCUGCAGAGGAAGGUGGAUGAAACCCCUGUGGUAGGCAGAUGUGAAACAAUCUGCUCCCAAAUUACUUCUUUAACUCUGGUGACUGGUAUAAGCUCCUCUGGAAAGCAGGCUGUGUGUAUGCUAAGGAGGGGUUCAGAGCAUGUUGAAAUUUUGCUGGAAUUUAGAUCUUUGAGUAAAUUGUAAUUUGGGACUUUAUCAUGUGGUAAUUUAAUCUCCAUUUUAAAUACAUCAGGGCAAAUGAACCCCUUGUGUGAACUCGCUGAGCUCAGCGAUGUUACAGAAGCAAAGCACUUGUCCCUUGCAGCAUAGAAACUAAUCUGUUCCCCCAAAAAACAUAACAUUUCAAUCAGUUGCAGCAUAAAAAAAGAAAAAACAAGACAGAAUUGCAGUCAGGCCUCCAUUCUGUGUAUUGGUAGGUCAGGCUAGACCAACCACUACAUAUGCUCAGGUUCUCAUGGGACCCUGUGAAAUCUAGCACCAUAAUGUCCCUCUGUGGUUUCAGAUGGAGAAAAGAGACCCUUUUCCCCUUUCAAAGAGAAUUUGGAUCAGAGGUUGUUAGGAGCUUCCAGAACACAUGAAAACCUUGGGCUGAAACAUCUACCUUUUCUAAAAACAUGCUGUUGGGGGUGGUUAUUAUUUGAGCUGAAAAAGAAUGGUUUAUUCAAGCAGAUUUCUUCCUGCACUCUCCUGCCCUAUCCUGCCUUAACGAUAGUCCCGGGAGAACUUAUAAUCUUUCAUGUAGGAGCCAGCAAUCUGGUAAGGGGAGACAAGCCUGUGUUAGAAGGAAAAAAGGAAUCGGGUUUCUAGAGUUCAGGAAUCUAUUAUUCAGACAGGAUUUUUUAAAACAAGUCUUUCAUAUAAAAUAAUGCUUGAGUUCUGCCUUGGCUCAACUGCCGUUUUAUUAUUUAUUAGUUUGCUGAGUGGUGAUGAGUUCUGAAAUUGGUGUGCUGGUGCAUUGUCUGACCACAUCUGAAGGGCUGGGGGAAAGAAAAUAUUUAUUUGGAUUGCAUUUAUGCUGUUCUGUUCUAUGCACCAAAGCGCUGGACUGUUUAAGAGAAGGGAUUGAUAAAUGAAAUAAAAGCAAACAUCUGGCUUUGGAAACUCUGAAA